AUACGGAGGGUGCGAGCGUUAAUCGGAAUUACUGGGCGUAAAGCGUACGUAGGCGGUUGGUUAAGUUAGAUGUGAAAGCCCCGGGCUUAACCUGGGAACUGCAUUUAAAACUGGCGAACUAGAGUUGAGUAGAGGGGAGUGGAAUUUCAGGUGUAGCGGUGAAAUGCGUAGAGAUCUGAAGGAACACCAGUGGCGAAGGCGACUCCCUGGACUCGAACUGACGCUGAGGUACGAAAGCGUGGGUAGCGAACAGGAUUAGAAACCCUAGUAGUCC
rnacentral:rRNA from 1 species